UUGUGAGGUUUUACAUGUGUUGGAAAGCAUGUAAAGAAGGAUAUAAGUACUGCAGGCCUAUAAUUGGGGUGGAUGGGUGUCAUUUAAAGGGACUACAUGGUGGGCAGUUGCUGUUAGCCAUUGGUGUAGAUGGGAAUGACAGUGUGUUUCCCCUAGCUUAUGCAGUAGGGUAAGGUGAGAGA